UAGACAUGUUCAAAGAGUACCUGGCCUA
rnacentral:piRNA from 1 species